GUAACCUAUUCGGCAUAGAUAUUGAGUUUCGUCCUAUGGAUUUGUCAAUGUUUAGAUCUGCACCAACCUCAUCCUCUAAUGCACCAACAAUCACCAAUCCAAAUGUGGCAAGAAAUCUUAAGUCAAGUCAAUGUAACAGAGGUCUAAUUGUCAAUAAGACAAUUGUGUCAAUAAAUUGAUCAUUAUUAUAUGUGGUGUCAAUGUAGUAAAAUGUAAAUGAACCGACUACUCAUAAAGACAAAUGCAAAUCUGCAAACCGAUCAUAAUGUGAAAUAAUAACAUCACCAUGAUUAACUUUUGCUGGCAGACACAUGGGAAUGGUAAACAUAGAUGUUUCGGGCAAUAGCACUUGAAAGAAGCUAUGAAGAAAAACCCUAAAGCAGGCCCGUCUCGGGUAUAACGUCGCUCUUGAACUUACAUAAGUUAUUAUAAUGUACGACCUAUACGUACCUAUAUGGAACGCUAUUUUGUGUGAGAGCCUCCCUGCGACUGCAAGUUUUGUCCAGUAAGACAUUGUCCCUAUGGAAAACCUGAAGAUGUGGUACCAAUUUCUAUGCCCAAACGAAAAUUAAAACCAAGGCCUAAACUAGCAGACGACGACGUAUGUAAGAAACAUCAGCCAAAGUAUGAAUGCGGCCUGCCUAAAAGGUCGCCAUUGCCGAAAUUUAAAAGGAAGAAGCCAAGUCUUCUCGAAAUGAUUGCUGAUAAGGACUGCGCGUGUGAGCUGAUCGCCCGAUCAGUCGGCGCCGGCGGUGUACACCAUCACAUCGGGUUAAGAGACCUACGCGAAACUAUCAACAUGAACGCCCAAAAAUCUACUAUAGAUGAGGAAUCCAUUGAAACAGCACCCGAAUUAACCGAAAAUAAAAGUAACCAUUAAAAUACACAACAUUUAUUUCCUCGCUAUACAGUC